GCAGUGGUAGUUCAGGGGUAGAAUUCUGACCUUCUAAGCGGGAGCCCCAAGUUUGAUUCCUAGCCAAUGCA
rnacentral:tRNA from 1 species